rnacentral:rRNA from 7 species
GGGUUGUGAGGUUAAGCGACUAAGCGUACACGGUGGAUGCCCUGGCAGUCAGAGGCGAUGAAGGACGUGCUAAUCUGCGAUAAGCGUCGGUAAGGUGAUAUGAACCGUUAUAACCGGCGAUUUCCGAAUGGGGAAACCCAGUGUG